GUGAGCGCAAUGAUAAGGAAGAGUAGAAAAGGAACCUAAACGCACAGAAAUUCGUUCCACGGCUGAAAGAACGAUCGUGAGCCCUUUUUGAAUGUCACCUUUGAGCUUUACUGAUGAAAUGGAUAAAAAGCCAGAUUAGUGAGUAACGGUUAGUCUCGUUAAUAGACUGAAGUCGAGUAGACUUCUAGAGCCUGUUUUCUGUAAGGAAAGCAGGGAAGUUGAGUGGUAUCGCGAUUAUAUCGCCUCAGCA
rnacentral:ncRNA from 1 species